CAUGGUCAGUCAUGUUUACAGGCAAUUGGCACCAACUCUCCUUCACACAGACCAACCUGGUCCAUAUAGCUGAAGCCAAGCCUGGAGUCCUGCGCUACACAAUGUGGUCUGCUGGUAAAGAGCGGCUUGGGGAGUUAUCCCAAGGAGGGGGUUUGAGCAGCCUGUGCAGUACAGUGGUGAGGAUGUUCCCAGAGAUGGAAGAUGUGACAAGUCCCUGCAUCAUGUAAGAAUCUUGCUAUGUGGAUGGUGAUUCUAUUAUUUAAAGAACGGGUUUUCCAUUCAACAUGGCUCCCAAGUGUAAACCAACUAACUACUAUGUAGACUAUGUACUCUGGACUUUCGAGGUUAUUCAAGGGAUUUUCAAGGACAAUUUUUAUUACUUGUGAUUUUUGCCUCACAGACUGUCUUUAAAAUCCAACCCCUGCAUAAGAUGUGACUCUUCUCCUUGUGAAUUUGUGGCAAGAGGGUAUGGGAUUCCCAGUAGCAGAUUCUCGAAGGAGAAUGUAACCCAAAGUUGGUUGGGGAGCACCAUUCAGGACAAAUAUUGCAAAUCCUACAGUGUUAAUAACGGUGAACAUGCUAUGAUAAUUGCCAUUAUAUAGACAUUUACUGACCACCUACUUUGUGUCAGGUAUAAUUCAAGAGUGAAUUAGACAAAUCCAUGUCCCCACAGGGCUCAUAGUGCUGUGGGGAUAACAAACCAUAUGUAGUUGGCAGGUUUCUUGGAGGAGGUGGGAUAUGAGCUGGAAUCUAAAGGAUACUAGGAAUUUUAACAGGAAAAGUUGACAAAAGGGCCUGCCAGGAAGGAGGGAUAUCUUGGGCAAAGAUAUAGAGUGGAGAAAGGGCCUGCUUAGAGAAUGCACAGCUGUGACUGGAUACAGCCCGAGAUGUGGGAUGAGCAGGGAUGAAGCUGAAGACAGAAGUAGGGCCUGGCUAUGGAGACAUUCAGUGUCAUCCAGAAUAUAAACUCUCCUCUCUGUCCCAAUUGCCAAAGUUCAUUCAGCCCUUCCUUUCAUUCAUUCAUUCCAGCAUCAAAUACCUAUAGAUGCUUUGGGAGAGGGAAACCCUUAACCUAGGGAAAGGCAAGACCGACUUGGAUUCUUGUACUGAUUCGUCUGUCAUCCAGCUGUGUGACCUUGGGCAAGACCCUUCCCUUCUCCGAACCUCAUUCUCUUCAUCUAAAAAUGGGAAUAGAUAUACCUGCUAAUACUACCCAGUGGGGUGUUUGGCACUUAGUGGGAACUCAUCUCAUGUUAGUUAAAUUGGGCUUUUGGAGGGCAUCAAAUGAGGUAGUAGAUGGUCAAGUAACUAGGAAGAAAGACCAAAGACAGACUCGAAGUCCCGCAUUACUGUCGUGGUCAAUGACCUUGAGCAGGUCUUCCUCCAUCUGGAGGCAGCAGGUUCGCAGCCCUCUCCCAUCACACCAAGCUCCCUCUGCUGCAAAGGAGACGGAGAGAGAUUCAUCAAUCACCUGGGCUGAUGCCAGACAUUGGAAAUCUCCCAAUGCAUGCUAAUGCCAUUGACCUUCACUGAGACGUGCUGGAAUUUCAGACAAGCUUAUUUGACUCUGAUUCACCUUUGGAGAAAAGAAAGGUUAUAUUAUUGAUACGAAGAAAUAGCAGGAACAAAAAAUCAUUCAAACCACAACAAUUCUCCCCAGGCUUCAACCUUCACAACUUCUGUUUAAGUUCAGGUGACAUACCCUCUUAAAGAGGUCAUCACGCCUUCAUCAUCCACUCGCUUGAUUACCAAACAAGUGAACAAAUGGUCACUUUGAGCAGACCCGCAGCCAGGCCCUGGGAGCACCAAAAGAACACAGAGCAGACCCUGUGGUAAAGCUGCCGGUGUAGCGGCAAGAAAGGUGCAGAACCAUGGACACAAACAGCUGCACACAUUAACGUGUGAUGGGUCAUAACAUGGGAAAGUCCAGUGUAUUGUGGGAGCCAGACAAGGGAACACCCACUAGCUUGAGGUGGAGGUUUUGCAGAUAUUAGGCCAUGUACAGGCUGGGCCUAGCUACAGCCCCAGGGCUCCCUUUCAUUGCGUCUGCACACACCAUGCCAACAAUGUAGCAGCCUUUCUUCUGCACCAGGCUACUUCAUGCCUCCACACUCAUGACAAAGAAUGCAAGAAUAGGACUUGGGAACCGAGGAGUGCAGCCUCUUCCUAUAAGAGAGUUCAGACAAGGUCCUCUAAGGAGAUGCUUGAGCUGGCUCUUGAAACAAGAAGGAGGUCUCCCAAGGAGCUGUCCAGGGCCCUUGUGUAGCACGUGGGUAGAAAAGGAAGCAUACAAAGUUCAGUUCAACUGGAGCGUAAGAUAAAAGUGGGGGGGAUGUGGGAGUUGACACGGGAGGCAAGGUCAAGGUGGCUAAGGGCCUUGGAUGCCAGGCUCAGGAGUCAGAACUGUAUCCUGUAGGUGACAGGGAGCCCUUCAUGGUUGUAAGCAGGGCAGUGACUUGGGCAACCACCACAAUGACCCCGGGACCCUUGAAAUAAGUUCAGAUGAGGCCAGGCUUCUGUAAACUGAUAGAGAGAAAGCUGGAAUCUGACCCAAAGGAAAGAACGUGCAUUCCAAGCCCCAACAGAGCCUCAGCCAGUGAAGCAGUCCCUCCCCCUGCUAGCCCUCAAGGAGCCUCGGACUUCCCAAGGUCACCCUUUCCUGAUGAUCUUUGAUGUCUCGAAGCAUUUCUCCUCCACACUGCAAAACAAUCACCUUUUGGCAGGUUCUGCGCCAAGGACAGAUUUGAUGGCGAGCAAAUAGCCCACUGGAGAAAUAAAAUGCUUGUGUUUCUUCAGCAGGGAGAGCUGUUGGGUUUUUUAUUAUCAUUGUUAUUAUUUUUCUCUGAGCUGAACAAGUGACAGGACAUAAUAAUAUCAUUUAUUCUUACUUGCUCUUGCAAAUCAGAACUUUUUAAUAUUUUUCUUUCAAAUGAAAAUGCCAUUUAUCAUUAUCAAAUGAAGUGCUAAUGAAAACAACAUGUAGAAGAAACACAUUCACACAGCAGAGCAUGAUGGAGCACCUUGUCAGCAGUCCAUAGUCUCGCCGUUAAUUUGAUUUCUGCCAAAAAUCACUUAAGUGAGACUUGAGGAUUUUUUUUCCCCCUUACUGCUCCAGGCCCUUCUACUGAGGCCUGUUUAUUCCCUUCUACCGGGAAGGCUCUAAAAUCCUGAGCCAGUUUUCAUCUGACUUUUAAUGGAACUCCCAUUGAUUGCAUGAGGGAUGUUUGCAUGUCGGGGAGUGUAGGGGGUUAUCCUUGCCUGUUUGUGUGUUCCUGCUCUUUUGGCUGCUGGAUUUUGCCUGUGUCCUUGUUUAGGUAUGUGUGUGUUUGU